GGUUCAAUUAUUUUAUGUCGAAUCAAAAGACUGUUGUUUAUAGAUCAACGUUAUAAUAUGAACUAAAUUGCACAGUACAAUGCUUGACAUUACAUAAUUUAGAAACUUAAUUGACUGUGCCAACUAUUAAGAUAAACAAAAGUUCAGAUUGGUCUGAACAAUAUCAUACAUUUUUGGCAAAA